rnacentral:rRNA from 1 species
UACGUAGGUGACACGCGUUGUCCGGAAUUACUGGGCGUAAAGCGUGCGUAGGCGGUCUCUUAAGUCCGUUGUGAAAGCCCUGGGCUCAACCUGGGAACUGCAGUGGAUACUGAGAAGCUAGAGUGUGUCAGAGGAUGGUGGAAUUCCCGGUGUAGCGGUGAAAUGCGUAGAGAUCGGGAGGAACAUCAGUGGCGAAGGCGGCCAUCUGGGACAACGCUGACGCUGAGGCACGAAAGCGUGGGGAGCGAACAGG